rnacentral:misc_RNA from 1 species
AUCUGAGGAUAAAACUCUCUGAGAUGCUACGUUGACUUUUGUAUAACGGUUUCAGAAUGCGAUUUCAAAACAUACCUGUUUGUGUCCUUAUGCUCUUUUUGGUGAACAUCGGAAAAAAUGAAGGGUUGUUACAUGGGAAUUCUAUACAUUCAAAUAAUUCAAUUCACGACCACCUUGGAGAAAAUGUUGAUAUGACGGGAAUUAUGCAAAUGCUUUCAAACCUGACUGCUGAACUUGAAAAUCUGAAGACAGUAGAGAUGGAACAUCUGAAACAACAAAUAGAAAAAGACCAAUUAACCAUACAGUUGCUGCAAAAUCGGGUAUUUACUCUCCGCUCAGGAGUUUUCAACGUAUUUGAGUGGCAUGAACCAAUUAACACACAAUCUAGUCGACAACGAGGCGAGUGAUAGAAACCUUACACAGCAAUUAAGCAAAGCUCAAGAUGAUAUAAAACAAAACAAUGUAUCAACAACACGAUUACUUCGAAAUCAAAGUAUGGAGCUGGAAAUGCUCAGACGUCAAUCGGGAAAAGAUAGAUCAAGAAUACAGCAACUAAAUGGCUCUUUGACUCAAGAGAUACGUGGUAUCAAGGAACAAAUUGCAAGUAAAAGUAACCACCAUGCGUUUACAGCGGGUAUAUCAUCAUAUAAUAAUGAUUGGACAGGAGACACCCUAGUGUUCCCCGUAGUAAUCUACAGUGACGGAACAGGCUACAACCCCAGUACUGGUAUCUUUACAGCGCCUACAGCGGGGUUAUAUGUGUUCUAUGUCUCUGUUCAGUCUUAUUAUCAAAAAUCCAUCUGGUUAGACAUAGUGUUGAAUGGAUCGAGUAAGGUCACGGCCAUGGCUUAUUACAUGUACGAAAGUGACAGUAGCAUUGCCAUUUACCAGACCGGAACCAACCUGGUCAUCUUACAUCUACGGACCGGUGACAGAGUGUGGGUCAAACGGUACCACGGUUCCGGUUACUACAGUAAAAGUAUUCCCAUAACAACGUUCUCUGGAUUUAAACUUUACUAGUUAAAAUGAUUUAAUUGAGAUCAAUCUCUAUUAUUAACAGAAAUUGAAGGAAUAUUAAAAAAAAUGGUUCUUUUG